rnacentral:lncRNA from 1 species
CCAAUAUAGUCUUUUUUUUAUGGUUCAAGGAUGUAUAACGGACCCCCACUCAAACAAAACAUCACAGGCAUAAUCACGAUAAGUAUCACAGGCAUGAUUGACAAUAAGCCACAAGUAAGUCACAAAUCACACGUCACAAGCCACAAGUAAGUCACAAAUCACACAUCACAAGCCACAAGUAAGGCACAAAUGCAAAUGCAAGUCAUAAGUAAGGCACAAAUGCAAAUGUAUGUCAAAAGACACAACUAAGUCACAAGUAAUCACUGCGGAGGCCCUCC